UAGCAGCGUAUCUUUGAUUGUCCAUUGUGAGCAUAACUCAAUGAAGCAAUUUUGUAGCGUACGCUUAAAAUUUGACCUUCAUCUCAACAAAUUUAAAUCUCAAACGUAUUGAGGAUUUCGUUUGUUGUAGACUUGUUUUGUGUAAACCUUCAUUUUUCGUUUGCUUCGGGGAAUUACUAAGUUCAGUUUAAUUAAGGUAUAACUGAUGAAUUCCAUCAUGAUGGAUAAACAACAUCUCUAUGAUGUGAAAGAUGACAAAGAGGAUAUUACGUUGGAGACAAAUCGGCCACAACUUGUGGAGACCAAGGCUUCUAUUACGGCCGUCUUGCUCGGCCCAGAAACUUCCACAAUAAAAUGUCCUCAUUGUGGUAGUACUGUGAAGACCAGGGUUCGUUAUACAACU